rnacentral:piRNA from 1 species
UGGGCUUGUAGACCUUGAGGGCUUCCUGA